CUGCUGCCUCAAUUUGGCAAUCUGCUGGAAAGACAUAAAAUCAAGUGAGCCCAUACCCCCUGUGGGGAAGAAAGGUGUGCCAGCUGAUAAAGUAGGAUACAGCCACAGAUCCACUUGGAAAUUCUCUGGGAGGAGCCUCAAGCAACAGCCAGCCUAACUGACUUUCUGACCUGUUUACCAAUAAAAGUGCCAAAGCUCAUCUCAUGCCAAAGGAAUGAAGUCUAAUUUCUCUGAGGCGUGCAGUUUUGGGAAGAAGACGGACAGAAGAAUGUGGCUCUGCCUGCUUGAGUGUGUCUCCAGUGUAAACAAAGUCAGGUGUGGCCAAAAGACAAUGGAUAUCAGAGACUGGAGGAAGAUCAUUUGCAUUGUAAAAAAAAAACACAAAAAGGAGAGAAGCCAGCAUGGUGUCUACACCAAACAGGAGAAAGGAACUUUAUCUAGGGAUACACUUCAGAAGAACAGAUUUAAAAGUUUUACUGGACUAUACAAAGAAGGGGAAUGAACCCCUAAAUCCUCCUUUACCUGAAGAGUCAAAGAAACCAAGUGCUUUGAGCUCCAUGUGUUGGGUCCUGGCUAAAGAACGGGCCAGCCAUGCUGGAAGAAUUGUGGAGGUCAGACAAACAUCUCAGAAUAAAAGAUCCGGUUUGUUGAGUUUUAGAAACAUAUUUUUACUUUUGCUUGUUCGCAAUCAUUUCUAUCCUUAUUGCUUAUACUUGGUAUCACUAAACUUACAUCCUUAUGUUAAUAAGCUUGUUAUACUUUUACCAUACAUCAUCUCAGUACAGGAACGCCU